AUGUGCACAAUUUGGAUUAGAUUAUACAGUAUUGGAUUGGAGAAGGAAACACAGAAGAAAUGCAAGGGAUCUCUCUCUCUCUCUCUCAAGAGAGAAGGAGAAACGCCAUCCCAUCCAUCCCAUCCAACUAGAAGGGAAGGGAAGGGACAUGAGGAACUGAAGAAGGGGAAUGAAGAGGAAACGUACCUACCUACCAUACAUACAGCCAGCCACGGGAGGAAGAAGGAAGAGCGACAGACGGGGAAUGUGACGGCAGCCGGCGUGGGAACGGCAGCCUUCUUCCUUCCUUCCUUGCUUGCUUGCUUCUGUGCUAUGCUCUGCUCUUCUCUUCUCUUAUAUAUGCUGUGA
rnacentral:rRNA from 1 species